UGUCAUUUCCUUCUCCAGGGGAUCUUCCUGACCCAGGGAUUGAACCCACAUCUCCACGUCUCCUGCAUUGGCAGGUGGAUUCUUUACCACUGAGCCACCUGGGAAGCCCCUAAGUUUCCACAUCACCAUCUAACUUCAAGGGAGCCUUGGAGCUGUGGACUUCAUUCUGGGUAGCCAGGCAUCAAACUGAAAAUGUGACCAAGGGAAAUAGGGGGAACUUAAUAUAAGAAAGGCAAUGGAAGUUCCUGGCAUGCCACCUGAAUAACAGCUGGUUUGCUAGGAUAAACUCUGAGUACGUUGUUAAGAAAACCUUUCCUCCCACAAGGAAAAACAGUGAUGGCUUCAAUGCACUGACCCAGAGGAGAAAUGCCAGAAGUAACCAGAGGAACGCAGGAGAAACAGACACGGUGCAGGCUGAAGCUGAAUUCCAAUGCUUAGGCCACCUGAUGCGAAGAACUGACUCCUUUGAAAAGAUCCUGAUGCUGAGAAUUAUUGAAGGUCAACAAGCUACAACAUGCAGUGCCAGUUCACCAAAGAUAUAAAACUACAGCUGACCACGG